GGAAUUUAAGUGUAAGGAGAUGGCAACUUCAAGGACCAAAGGAGUCAUUUUUCCAAUAUUAUAUAUAUCACCUCCUUAUGAUUUAACAUCAGCAAAACCCUCAUUUCAGCUAGCCAAAUUCGUUUUUCCCCAUCCUCCAUAGAAGAACAUUAACAAAUUUUCAAAUUACCAUAAUUUCUUCGUUUUUGAUCCGAAUCGAGUGAUUCUUGCGGUCACGGAACGAGGAAAGGAUCCUCUACUGGAUUAUGGAUUCAAUUUGAGUGAAAUUGUGAGCUUACAUGGUGGAUUUUAAUGGUGAUUCUUGGAGCUAGAACCAUUCGGAUUUGAUUAUUAAUCAAGGCCUAGAGAGGCGACUACCAACGGGAACCGGAACGUAUAGAACACGACAUCGCUAUGCUGUUAUUGAAGCGUGUGGAUAGCAAGUGUACUUAGACUUGGAGUGACUAGAAGUCUAUCGUUUUGCCGGGAGUCUGUCUUGCCAUGUACAGUCCGACUUCCGUGACCGCUGCAGUAGUACAUUGUGUGACCAGUCAUGACCUAGGACAAUAUUAUAGUUUUGGAAAAUGUUUAUAUCGAUGUUAGAUUUACGUAGCCAGUGUUUACAAAAUAACUAUUAAUGUUUUCAUAAUUAAAUGCUUCCGUGUUAUAACAUAAUUGCGAAAAAUUUAUAGUGAAUUUCAGGCUUGCUACGGGAUUCGGAACUACAAUUCCCAUUCCCUAGCGCCGGUCGCGGCCCUCGAUUUUGGGUCGUGACAACCAGAAA